ACAUCCAAAAAAUCUCAAAUUAAAUACACAUAAACAGGGGUCAAUCAAGGUCUACCAUGUCAAAUUUGAGCUUAAUUGGGCAAAUGAAACCAUGUCAAUGAAAAUCCACAAAAACAGACACAAUUACAUGCUUCAAUUCACACCAUCAAUGCAUACAUCCAAUUCAAAAAUUCAUAUCUCAUUGAAAACAAAAAAGAAAUGGAUGAGACCAAAACAGGGAGGUCACACAAUGUGUCUAGUUCAUGCAUAUCAAAUUUCAUGGCCAUACAAUACAAUAUGAGGAUUUCCCAAUCAAUCUACCAACAUGUAUCACAUGAGCUUGCAAUUUCAACAACCAGAAAUGAAAAAUCAUGAUCAAUUAGAAAAGGCAGUGAAAAAUUCUACAAAAAUUCAUACAACAUCCUAACAUAUCAACAAGUCA
rnacentral:lncRNA from 1 species